rnacentral:rRNA from 1 species
UACGAAGGGGGCUAGCGUUGUUCGGAAUUACUGGGCGUAAAGGGCGCGUAGGCGGCUGUGCAAGUCAGAUGUGAAAGCCCUGGGCUCAACCCAGGAUGUGCAUUUGAUACUGCACGGCUAGAGUGUCGGAGAGGAUGGUGGAAUUCCCAGUGUAGAGGUGAAAUUCGUAGAUAUUGGGAAGAACACCGGUGGCGAAGGCGACCAUCUGGAUGACAACUGACGCUGAGGCGCGAAAGCGUGGGGAGCAAACAGG